CGGAGGAAGGUGGGGAUGACGUCAGAUCAUCAUGCCCCUUACGUCCAGGGCUUCACGCAUGCUACAAUGGCCGGUACAACGGGAUGCGACACCGCGAGGUGGAGCGGAUCCCUUAAAACCGGUCUCAGUUCGGAUUGGAGUCUGCAACCCGACUCCAUGAAGGCGGA
rnacentral:rRNA from 1 species